UAUUUUAUUUUAUUUUUAAUAUUUUACUUAUUUGACAGAGAGAGAACAUAGGCAGAGGGAGAGAGAGAGAAGUACACUCCCUGCUGAACAGGGAGCUCGAUUCAAAACUCCAUCCCUGGAACCUGGGAUUCUGACCUGAGCCGAAGGCAGACGCUUGACUGAGCCAUCCAAACGCCCCAAGGGGUGGUGUUACUGAGGAAGAAAUCCAACUAACUUGCAAGAGUACGGCCCAGCCAGCCCCCAGUCUUUCUAGCCAUGGUCUUGUACGUUGCAGACCCAGAGCCCCAGUGGAAUUUGUGAGUGACCCAGCAAACAUCCUGUGGAAGAACUGCUCAGCUGCAACGGGCCAUCCCUUGGAAUGACGGAUACCUGCUGAGAGGCCAGCCUUGCUGUUCUGCUGUUCCUGAUUAAGCAGCAGGGAUUUUCAGUUUCACCUAGCUGUUUUCCAUGCCGCUCAGUCUUGCUUGCAGCUUACUUCCUGGUCUCAGUUGAACAAGAGUGCCACAGUUACCUGACUAGUGAUUUUUUCUGCCUCCUCCUGGGAGCCCUUGGUAGUCUCUGUUUUUGAGAAGUUUUCUUAUAACCAGCAGAGUCUUUACUAAGGCAUAAGAUAAGGUAUGAAAGGAACCCCAGUGGAAGGAAAGAGGAUUGUUUUCACUGACAAGCCCCAGUUAUAGGUUGGGCUCCUCAUGAUGCAGCUCUCUGGGCCUCUCACUGUCUCCCCACUCCCCACCCUCUACCUAAUACUCUCUCAAAAAAGUAAUGAGGUAUAAACAACUGCCUGGAACACAUGGAAUAAGCCUCAGUAUUUCCUGUUAUCUAAUAUUUAUUGGAAUGGAAUGGAAUGAAAUAGUGGAUGCAGUGAGGUGUAAACAGGUCCCUGGAUGCACAGGGCUGCUCUCCAUUUCAGAUGAUUUGGAAUCUGUGGGACAGGAGUAGAGUGAUGCCACACAACCAGUGGAUAACUGCUCUGGCAACACUGCAAUGUGCAAUGCACCGUGGCUUCACAGAUUUCCAGUUUUUCCCGACGCAGUGCCUGGCACUUAGCUGGUGCUCAGUAAAUGUGUCCGGCUAAGUUGUAACUUGCACUUGUGUUUAGCUUCUGCUCAGUACUGUCCUGAGACCCAGUAAAGGAGGUCCCCUGUUUAAGGCUCAUGCCUCAGGGGCCUUGUGUUUUGGAGUGCAUUCCUCAAAGGAAGUCCUCUUCUGGUAUCUGGAAUCAGGUGGGGCUGGCAGUAGUAUUCAGGCUCAAUACCCUCAGCCUAUACCUUGUCCUGGGUUAAGUCCUGGUUGCCAGAAACACCUGCCUCAUAAUCUAUCUUCCUUCCUUCCUUCCUUCCUUCCUCCCUUCAGAUUUAUUUUGAGAGAGUAUGAGCAUGCAUAAGCUGGGGGAGGGACAGGGGAGGGGGGGGAGAAUCUCCAACAGACUCCCCACUGAGCGUGGAGCCUGACCCAGGACUUGAUUCCAUGAUCUGAGCCAAAACCAAGAGUCAAACAAUCAACCAACAGAAAUACUAGGUAUCCCUAUCUCAAAAUUUUCUUUUCUUUCUUUUUUUUUUUUUUCAAAAUUUUCUAAGAACCGCUCUGGCUAUGGCUGGCAGUAUCAUCUAGGUGGGGCUCCCUGAGCCUGAACUGGUGUCCGCAUGAGUUCUUACUUCUCUUUCUCCCCCUAUUUUAUUAUUUUUUUUUUUUUAAUUUUUAUUUA